rnacentral:rRNA from 1 species
AGAGCGAACGCUGGCGGCAGGCUUAACACAUGCAAGUCGAGCGGGCGUAGCAAUACGUCAGCGGCAGACGGGUGAGUAACGCGUGGGAACGUACCUUUUGGUUCGGAACAACCCAGGGAAACUUGGGCUAAUACCGGAUAAGCCCUUACGGGGAAAGAUUUAUCGCCGAAAGAUCGGCCCGCGUCUGAUUAGCUAGUUGGUGAGGUAAUGGCUCACCAAGGCGACGAUCAGUAGCUGGUCUGAGAGGAUGAUCAGCCACAUUGGGACUGAGACACGGCCCAAACUCCUACGGGAGGCAGCAGUGGGGAAUAUUGGACAAUGGGCGCAAGCCUGAUCCAGCCAUGCCGCGUGAGUGAUGAAGGCCCUAGGGUUGUAAAGCUCUUUUGUGCGGGAAGAUAAUGACGGUACCGCAAGAAUAAGCCCCGGCUAACUUCGUGCCAGCAGCCGAC